GCAUUCUGCAGAUGUGAUUAACAACCUUAAGAUGGAGAAGUUAUCCUGGGUUAUCCAAGCAGGCCCAAUGUAAUCACAAGGGUCCUGGUAGGAGGUCAGAAGAGCCAGUGAUGUGACAACAGACACAGGUCAGAGUUAUGUGGCCAUGAGCCAAGGAGUGUCGGCUGCCUCUAGAAGCUAGAAAAGGCAAGGAACAGACUGUCUCUUGAAGCUUCCAGAAGAAACUGGCUGUGCAAAUACUCCAUAGGACUCAUUUUGGCCUUCUUAUCUCCAGAGCUGUUCUUAUGGGAAAUUCUAUCCAGGUCAUCAUAACACAAUUGAAAACAACUGAUAAUGAAAAGAAUGCUAAUUGGUUUCCUCUCUCUCUUAUCACUGAUCCGUACACAGACCAAGGACAGAACCCAGAGGGCUAACAAAGAAGCACCAUGGAGUUGGUACACAGACCUCUGAGAGCGGAUCCUAAAUGGCUAUCGCUGCUACCUGGCAUCUCACCAGAGAACUGGUCCUGGAAGCUGUCAAGGAAGGUUGAAGCUUUUAACUGCUACUGACCAAUACAGGAAAAACAGAAAUGUAAAGAAGUCAGCUAUCAGACUCCGGAAACCCAAACAAUUUUCUGAUGAAGGAGAGGCGUGGUAUGACAAUUGGCCCUGAGCUCCGCACAAGCAAUCACCAAGAUUCACUGAUUCUGCAGCUGUAGAAUCAACUCCCAGACUAAGUUAUCUAAGAAUUAAACCUCAAAUCUUCCACACUAAAAUCACCUUUAAAAACAUAAGCUCUUUAAAAAAAAUAAUAUUAAG
rnacentral:lncRNA from 1 species